AUGCACGCUGGCGGCGUGCCUCAUACAUUCAAGUCGAGCGCACAGAUGAGGAGCUUGCUCCUCUGACGUUAGCGGCGGACGGGUGAGUAACACGUGGAUAACCUACCUAUAAGACUGGGAUAACUUCGGGAAACCGGAGCUAAUACCGGAUAAUAUAUUGAACCGCAUGGUUCAAUAGUGAAAGACGGUUUUGCUGUCACUUAUAGAUGGAUCCGCGCCGCAUUAGCUAGUUGGUAAGGUAACGGCUUACCAAGGCGACGAUGCGUAGCCGACCUGAGAGGGUGAUCGGCCACACUGGAACUGAGACACGGUCCAGACUCCUACGGGAGGCAGCAGUAGGGAAUCUUCCGCAAUGGGCGAAAGCCUGACGGAGCAACGCCGCGUGAGUGAUGAAGGUCUUCGGAUCGUAAAACUCUGUUAUUAGGGAAGAACAAAUGUGUAAGUAACUAUGCACGUCUUGACGGUACCUAAUCAGAAAGCCACGGCUAACUACGUG
rnacentral:rRNA from 1 species